rnacentral:rRNA from 12 species
UAGUGCUGUUAUGAUCGGCAUGAUCCUAUCAGGACUCCGAAGUUAAGCAUGUUUGGGCGAGAGUAGUACUAGGAUAGGUGACCUCCUGGGAAGUUCUCGUGUUGCAUUCC